rnacentral:rRNA from 1 species
UGGCGGACGGGUGAGAAACACGUGGGCAACCUGCCUCACAAUGAGGGAUAGCCUUCCGAAAGGAAGAUUAAUACCUCAUAAUACAAAGAAAACGCAUGUUUUCUUUGCCAAAGAAUUUCGUUGUGAGAUGGGCCCGCGGCGCAUUAGCUUGUUGGUGAGGUAACGGCUCACCAAGGCUUCGAUGCGUAGCCGACCUGAGAGGGUGAUCGGCCACAUUGGAACUGAGACACGGUCCAGACUCCUACGGGAGGCAGCAGUGGGGAAUAUUGCACAAUGGAGGAAACUCUGAUGCAGCAACGCCGCGUGAGUGAUGAAGGUCUUCGGAUUGUAAAGCUCUGUCUUCUGGGACGAUAAUGACGGUACCAGAGGAGGAAGCCACGGCUAACUACGUGCCAGCAGCCGCGGUAAU